rnacentral:lncRNA from 1 species
ACCUCGUCCUACACCUCCCACUUUUACUUUAAUUUCCACUGUACCCCUAACCCCUAUAAGUCUACUUCUUUCAGCCUAUUCAUUGGUUUUUGAAAAAGUUAAAUGACUCUGCCGCAUCUCACACCAAAACAAACCCUACACCUCCUUUCUUCUUUUUCCCCUUUGCCCGUCUUCCUUUCCUCCCCACCAACUUAUUUUUGACCAAUUUUUUAAAGUGCAG